GGGGGAAACCCUAAACUCAAGAAAUCAAGCAAUUGAAGCCUAAAAUCAUAAGAAAAUCCAGUGCAUGAGCCCUCUUAUCGAUCAUCUAAGCAUACCUAGUGAAGUGCUUGAAAGAAUAAGAACCAUGUCAAGAUGGACCAACUCAUGGGAAGCAAAUGGGUCAAAGAGGAGGCAAAGAAACUAGCAUAAACAUGGCGAGCACAAGGUAAAUCCUCAAAUUAGGCGACUUGGAGAAUCAGAGCGAGCGCGUGUUCAUGUUAUGUCAUACCAAACG
rnacentral:lncRNA from 1 species